rnacentral:rRNA from 1 species
CUACGUGCCAGCAGCCGCGGUAAUACGGAGGGUGCGAGCGUUAAUCGGAAUAACUGGGCGUAAAGGGCACGCAGGCGGUGACUUAAGUGAGGUGUGAAAGCCCCGGGCUUAACCUGGGAAUUGCAUUUCAUACUGGGUCGCUAGAGUACUUUAGGGAGGGGUAGAAUUCCACGUGUAGCGGUGAAAUGCGUAGAGAUGUGGAGGAAUACCGAAGGCGAAGGCAGCCCCUUGGGAAUGUACUGACGCUCAUGUGCGAAAGCGUGGGGAGCAAACAGGAUUAGAUACCCUGGUAGUCCACGCUGUAAACGAUGGGUACUAGGUGUAGGAGGUAUCGACCCCUUCUGUGCCGGAGUUAACGCAAUAAGUACCCCGCCUGGGGAGUACGRYCGCAAGRUURAAACUCAAAGGAAUUGACGGGGGCCCGCACAAGCGGUGGAGUAUGUGGUUUAAUUCGACGCAACGCGAAGAACCUUACCAGGUCUUGACAU